rnacentral:rRNA from 1 species
GUCCGGAGUAGUGUCCGGUGGCCCUGCCCUGAAUGUAUAGGGGUGUGGGUGGUAACGCGGGGAAGUGAAACAUCUUAGUACCCGUAGGAAGAGAAAACAAGUGUGAUUCCGUGAGUAGUGGCGAGCGAAAGCGGAGGAGGCUAAACCGUGUGUGUGUUCAAGCCGGCAGGUGUUGCAUGUGCGGGGUUGUGGGGGCCUUGUGGUUCUGCUGCCGCAGGAUUGGCCAGUGAGAAAUGUUGCGUGAAGGUGAAGCGUCUGGGAAGGCGUACCGGAGUGGGUGAGAGUCCUGUAACUGUAAGCGUGGCACUGGUGUGGGGUUGCCCCGAGUAGCGUGGGACUCGUGGAAUUUCGCGUGAAUCUGGCGGGACCACCCGUCAAGCCUAAAUACUCCUUGGUGACCGAUAGUGGAUGAGUACCGUGAGGGAAGGGUGAAAAGUACCCCGGGAGGGGAGUGAAAGAGUUCCUGAAACCGGUCGCAUGCAAGCCGUCAGAGCCUGUGUGGUGAUGGCGUGCCUUUUGAAGAAUGAGCCUGCGAGUUAGUGAUGCGUGGCGAGGUUAACCCGUGGUGGGGGAGUCGUAGCGAAAGCGAGUCCGAUAAGGGCGUGAGUCGCGUGUUCUAGACCCGAAGCGGUGUGAUCUAUCCAUGGCCAGGAUGAAGCGUCGGUAAGACGUCGUGGAGGUCCGAACCCACUUCAGUUGAAAAUGGAGGGGAUGAGUUGUGGAUAGGGGUGAAAGGCCAAUCAAACACCGUGAUAGCUGGUUCUCCCCGAAAUGCAUUUAGGUGCAGCGUUGCGUGGUUCUUGUUGGAGGUAGAGCACUGGAUGGUCUAGGGGGCUUAUCGGCUUACCGAAAUCAGCCAAACUCCGAAUGCUGGCAAGUGUAGCGUGGCAGUGAGACGGCGGGGGAUAAGCUUCGUCGUCGAGAGGGAAACAGCCCAGAUCAUCAGCUAAGGCCCCUAAGUGGUGACUCAGUGGGAAAGGAUGUGGAGUUGCGUAGACAACCAGGAGGUUGGCUUGGAAGCAGCCAUCCUUGAAAGAGUGCGUAAUAGCUCACUGGUCAAGUGAUUCCGCGCCGAUAAUGUAGCGGGGCUUAAGU